GGGAGAGGAGGCAGCACCGGGCACGGAGCAUAAAACACGUUGGAUACUCUUCCAAGAUAUCACGGCUCAGGAGAGUCUUCCAACGGUCCUGUAAGGUUCCUCAACAGCAGCAUCAGUGCCAUAAAGUCUCCCUUCCACUGAGUCCUGCUAACAGCAGAGGAGUGAAAAAAACUCAUGGGACAAACUGCUGUCCCCACACGUCACUGUGUCUGUCUGCAAAUGUAGGCAGGCUGGGGACCUGUCCCAGGGAAGACGUGGGACAAACUGCUGUCCCCACACGUCACUGUGUCUGUCUGCAAAUGUAGGCAGGCUGGGGACCUGUCCCAGGGAAGACAGAGUCAUUCCGCAGUAAUAAAGCAGCAUGUUUCUGACGCAGGGGUGUCUGUGUCUAUCCUCAUUCCUCCCUCACCAUCAUCACCAGAGCAUGCUCCUUGCAUCAGAUAAACAGAAAGAGAGGAAUGGAAAGCCCAUUGCUCACACAUGAGUCACAGCUAUUCUUAAGAGAAUGUUCUCCAGGCCUUUCAUGUCCUAUCACUGAUUCUCAGAACUCUGCAAGGUCAGUGUGACCACCCUGCUCCAAAUCUAAGAAAAUGGAGGCUCCCAAAGGAAGGAGAAAAUUCACCCAGCGUCACACAGCUUGCAAGAGGCAGAGAGGAACCCGAUUCCAGCUCUGCCUGCAGGACCCUCUCAUCCCCCCUCUGCUUCCCUUCUUGACAAAGGGUCUUCUCCACUCUGGAGGCGCCACCUGUGGGCACAAAGGUCUCUGGGGAGAUGUGGAUUCCUGAAGACCUGCAGGGGAAUUGGGAGAGGGUUUUCUCACAGGACGAUCCUAUGUAGAGAGGUGAGUUUGGCGCAGCUGUCAU
rnacentral:antisense_RNA from 1 species